UCCCUCUUAGCUCAGUUGGUAGAGCGCGUCACUAGUACUCUUAGCAAUAUGACGAGGUCAGUCGUUCAAGUCGGCUAGAGGGAA